GGGGAACAAGUCGCCUUUUAGAAAGAGCUCAGGGAUUGAUUUUUCCAUCCGUCACUUGAAUGAGUGGUUCUCUCCGGAGGGUGCAGGACCAGGCUGCUCUCUAAAUGCUGGGAGUGUCUAUGGAUUUGAAUAAUGGAUUAGGAAGUGCACAAACAUCACGAUCUUCAGUUUUCUCCUGCUGAAUCAGGACAGCUUGUCCAAAGCAUCAGAAAGGAAGCUUUCCUUUACCUUGGAAAUGCUGUGACAGGGGCCUGAAUAAUGACAUUGCAAUAGGGAGCAGGUCCCCAAAGACCAGUGUCGAAUGAGGCUGAACUGGAUCAGAGGCAGUCAGCGACAGUCACAACGGUGGAAGGAAACAUCUCCUCUCUCCUUCCAAACAAAGACCUGAGGGAGCAGCCGUACACGAGGCUAUGUAAACAGGACACUUCUUCUGAUCCCAGGAGUUAACAAAGACAGUGCCAGGAAAAUGAGUCACUCAAGCAUCGCCAUGAAAGCCACAGCUGAAGUUGGGGCUGAGUCAUCUGAGAAUCAGAUCUAAACUCACAUCCCUGCCUCCUCGUCCAGCUCCCCAGAUGGCGCAGGUGAAAUGGACUCCUAGCUUUGCCUCCUGUGAACAUUGGCUGUGGGGCUAAAUAAGCCAGAAGAGUCAGGACUUUUGUAAAGGAUUUUCUUAACUGUAAUUUUCCUCACUGAAUUAGCCCACUCAGACUCUCAGCCCUCCUUUCUAUCUCCAGGGCUAUCCAGACUGGUGUACAGACUGGGGAGAAACUGCACCCAAGAUGAUAGCAGACUCUGAGGAGUCCUCCAUAAGUGAUCCAUGAAAUGACCCAUGUGCCCGUCUGGCCACCUCAUCACCAUUGGGUGAAUAGCAAUCUGCGUACACAGAACACCUUUCCUCUGCCUCCUGAGGCAAGAACUUGGGUCUCCCAGAGCUCUCUUCAAUCUCUGACCACCAUAUUUCAUGCUGGCUCAGUCGGCCAGUGUGCCUAAGACAAGUCCUCGGCUAAAACAUAGUCAUUGCCGUCAAACAGCCAAUAGUCUUUAUGGUAAGAUAAAUUAUGUAAAGUAAUAACUUUCAAAGAUAACACAACAAGAAAAUAAAAGAAUUUAUAAUAGAGGAUCAAAGUGAGUAUAUAGAUAAAAGUUAUAGAAGACUCAAGUAUAAAAUUUAAAGAAAUAAUAUUUAUGUAUAUUAUUGGUCAGAGAGCACAACCUCCA
rnacentral:lncRNA from 1 species